rnacentral:piRNA from 1 species
GAGGAAUGUGUGAUGUGAGCUUAUCCAG